rnacentral:lncRNA from 1 species
UAUGGUUUCCUUUGCUGUGCAAAAGCUUGUCAGUUUGAUUAGGUCCCACUGGUUUAUUUUUGCUUUUAUUUCUGUUGGACCUGAGAAUACAUUUGUAAGAUUGAUAUUAGAAAAUAUUUUGCCUAUGUUCUCUUCUAGGAGUUUGAUGGUGUCUUGUCUUACAUUUAAGACUUUAAGCCAUUUUGAGUUUAUUUUUGUGCAUGAUAUGUGAGUGCAUUCCAGUUUCAUUGAUUUUCAUAUGGCUAUCCAGUUUUCCUAGCACCAUUUGCUGAAAAGACUGUCUUUUUCCCAUUUUAUGUUCUUGCCUCCUUUGUCAAAGAUUUAUUGACCAGAGGUGUCUGGGUUUAUUUCUGCAUUCUCUAUUCUGUUCCAUUGGUCUGUAUGUCUGUUUUGGUACCAGUACCACACUGUCUCGAUUACUGUGACUUUGUAAUAUUGUCUGAAGUCUGGGAGAGUUAUGCACCUGCUUGGUUUAUGUUCCUCAGGAUUGCUUUGGCCAUUCUGGGUCUUUUGUGGUUCCAUAUAAAUUUUUGGAUUGUUUGUUCUAGUUCUGUAAAAAUGUCAUGGGUAAUUUGAUAGGGAUUGCAUUGACUCUGUAUAUUACUUUGGGUAGUAUGGCCAUUGUUGCAAUAUGAAUUUUUCUAACCAAGGAGCAUGGAAUAUCUUUCCAUUUCUUUGCAUCCACUUUAAUUUCCUUGAUGAAUGUUUUACAGUUCUCAGCAUAUAAGUCUUUUACCUCCUUGGUCAGGUGUAUUCCCAGGUAUUUGAUUUUUUGGGGUGCAAAUUUAAAAGGUAUUGUGUUUUUGUUUUCCUUUUCUAAUAUUUCAUUGUUAGUAUACAGAAAUGCAACUGAUUUCUGAAUGUAAAUCUUAUAUCCUGCUACUUUUCUGAAUCUGUUGAUCAGUUCGAGUAGUUUUUGGGUUGAGUCCUUAGGGUUUUCUAUAUAUAAUAUCAUGUCAUCUGCAUACAGUGACGGUUUUACCUAUUCUCUUCCAAUUUGGAUACCUUUUAUUUAUUUUGUUUGUCUGAUUACUGUGGGUUAGGACUUCCAAUACUAUGUUGAAUAACAAUGGUGAGAAUGGAUAUUCUUGUCUUGUUCCAGAUUUUAGUGGAAGGGCUCUAAGUUUUUCUCCAUUGAGUGUUAUAUUUGCUGUGGGUUUGUCAUAAGUGGCUUUUAUUAUAUUAAGGUAUGUUCCCUCUAUACCCACUUUGGUAAGAAUUUUUAUCAUGAAUGGAUGUUGGAUGUUGUCAAAUGCUUUUUCUGAAUCUAUUGAUAUGAUCAUGUGAUUUUUUACUUUUCUUUUGUUAAUGUGGUGUAUGAUGUUGAUUGAUUUGCAUGUGUUGAACUAUCUUUGUGAACCUGGGAUGAAUCCCAAUUGGUCAUGUUGUAUGAUCUUUUUUAUAUGUUGUUGAAUUUGGUUGGCUAAAAUUUUGUUGAGAACUUUUGCAUCUAUAUUCAUCAGAGAUAUUGGCCUAUAGUUUUCUUUUUCGGUGGUAUCUUUAUCUGGUUUUGGUAUUAGGGUGCUGGUGGCUUCAUAGAAUGGCUUUGGGAGUGUUCCUGCUUCUUCAGUCUUUUGGAAAAAUUUAAGGAGGAUGGGUAUAAGUUCCUCUUCUUAUGUUUGGUAGAAUUCACCUGUGAAGCCAUCUGGUCCUGCACUUUUAUUUGUAGGGAGUGUUUUUAUGACAUAUUCAAUUUCAUUUCUAGUGAUCAGCCUGUUCAGUUGGUCUAUUUCUUCUUGAUUCAGUUUUGGCAGGCUGUUAAGUCUCUAGAAAGUUGUCCAUUUCUUCUAGGUUGUCAAAUUUAUUGGCAUACAAUUGUUCAUAGUAUUUUCUUAUGGUGUUUUAUAUUUCUGCAGUAUCUGUUCUGAUUUCUCCUUUUUCAUUUCUUAUUUUGUUUAUUUGGGUUUUUUCCCUCUCCUCUUCUUGGUGAGUCUGGCCAGAAGUUUGCCCAUUUUGUUUACCUUUUCAAAAAAACAGCUCUUGGUUUUAUUGAUUUUCUCUAUUGUCUUUUUGAAGCUCUAUUUUAUCGAUUUCCUCUCUGAUCUUUAUUAUUUCCUUUCUUCUGCUGACUUUAGGUUUCAUUUGUUCUUCUUUUUUUAAAUCAUUUAGGUGGUGGGUUAAGUUGUCAAUUUGAGAUUUUUCUCCUUUUCUGGGGAAGGCUUCUAUUGCUAUGAAUUUCCCUCUGAACACUGCUUUUGUAGCAUUCCCAUAGAUUUUGAGUGGUUGUGUCUUCAUUAUCAUUUGUCUCAAGGUAUUUUUUUUAAUUUCCUUCUUGAUUUGCUCAUUGACCCAUUGGUUUUUUAGUAGCAUGUUGUUUAGUCUCCAUGUAGUCAGUUUUUUCUCAUUUUCUUUUCCUGUGGUUGAUUUCUAGUUUCAUGCCAUUGUGGUCAGAGAAGAUGCUUGACAUAAUUUCUAUAUUCCUAAAUUUGUUGAGCCUAGCUUUGUGCCCAAUAUGUGGUCAGUCCUUGAGAAUGUUCCAUAUACACUUGAAAAGAAUGUAUAUUCUGAUGUAUUUGGAUAUAAUAUCUUAUAAAUGUCAAUUAAGUCUAAUAUUUCUGUUGUGUCAUUUAGGAUCUCUGUUGCCUUAUUGAUUUUCUGUCUAGAGGAUCUGUCCAUUGAUGUGAGUGGGAUGUUCAAGUCUCCUACUAUGAUUGUAUUCCCAUCAACUUCUCCUUCUAUGUCUGUUAGUAUUUGUUGUAGGUAUCUGGGUGCUCCUAUAUUAGGGGCGUAUAUAUUGACAAUCAUAAUAUCCUCUUCUUGAAUGGAUCCUUUUACCAUUAAAUAGUGUCUUUCUUUGUCUUUAUUUUAAAGUCUAUUUUGUCUGAUAUGAGUAUUGGAACUCCUGCUUUCCUGUCUUGUCCGUUGGCAUGAACUAUCUUUUCCCAUCCCCUCAUUUUCAAUCUAUAUGUGUCCUUUGCCCUAAGGUGAGUAUCUUAUAGACAGCAGAUUGAAGGUUUUUGCUUUUUUAUCCAGUCUGCCACUCUGUGUCUUUUGAUUAGAGCAUUCAGUCCAUUGACUUUUAAGGUAAUUAUUGAUAGAUGUGUAUUUAUUGCCAUUUUAAACCUUGUUUUCCAGUUGAUUCUAUGUUUUUCCUUUCUUCCUUUCUUUUCUGGGUUGGAUGAUUUCCAUUUAUUUUAUGCUUGAGUGGUUUUCUUCUUAGUUUUUGUGAAUGUAAUGUUUGGUUUUGAUUUGUGGUUGCCCUGUUUUUUAUGUAUGUGAACUCCUUCCUGUAUCUGCUUGCUUUAGCUGGAUAGUCAUAUAGGCUCAAACACAUU